AACGGCCGUACCAUGCUGAAUAUAUCGGUUCUCGUUAGAUCACCGAAGUCAAGCAUUGGGCGCGGUCAAUACUUGGGUGGGUGACCACCUGGGAACACCGCGUGCCGUU
rnacentral:rRNA from 1 species